ACAAUGUUCAGUGAGCAGUACACACUCAUUUGUGCAAUUUAGAAACAAAGAUCAAUAUCAGUAUGAAAUAUCUCCUUAGCUCUCCAUUUUUUGCAUUCAAUCUCAGCUGCCUAUCCGCUAGGGAAGACCAUUAUUAAAAUGACAAAA